GGAAAACUUGGUUCUAGUUUCCUCUUUAGUUAUUAUUUACCUGCCACAUGCAAGUACAAUCCAUCCCAGCAGAAUUCCCUUCAAGAUAUCUUGAAGGGAAACACAUAAGUUACAAACAUAAGUGCUUUUUUAAUCUGCGGUCAGCAGUGCUUAACAUUAUACAAUUUAUGAAAAUAAGAUAUAGGUAGAAUACACAGAGGAGGCACAUAACGUGCCAGCAGCCGCGGUUAUACGUUAUUCCUCAAAUUAAAGAUAGCCGGUCUAAAGAAGAGAAAGCCUAAAAAUAAGUAAAAAAGGAUAUACAGCAGUAAUAAGCUAAUAAUAUACCUAAUUUUCUGUAGAAGCCCACUCCUAAAGGAAAGAAAUAAACUAGGAUUAGAUACCCUACUAUACUUUUCCCACACACAAAUUCACCAGAGUAGUACGGUCACACUAAAACUCAAAGAACUUGGCGGUUUUUUAGAUCUACUUGGAGGAGCUUGUCGUCGAAUUGAUAACCCACAAGAUACCUUACCUUCUUAAGAUAACCAGCCUGUAUACCAUCGUCGUCAGCUCACCUCAAUAGAGUGUGAACAAAAUGAAAGAACUCUUAACGUCAGAUCAAGGUGCAGCCAAUAAGAAGGAGAUUGGUGAGCUACUGUAUUUUUAAGAACUGAGGAAGUGAGAGUUAAAACCUCACCAAAAAAGGAUUCAACAGUAACGAAGUACAUAGAAACUUAGUAAAGCGAGCUCUAGAAUGCGCACACAUCGCCCGUCACUCUCCUCAUUAGAGGAGAAAAGUCGUAACAUAGUAGGUGUACCGGAAGGUGCUACCUGGAACAAU
rnacentral:ncRNA from 1 species